AGGGGUACUACAAGGUCAACAGAACAGGUAUGUAAUUUCAACAGUUUCGAUCGGUGGACCGACCUUCAUCAGGGUUUACAAAUAAAUGCCAAUUCAACCCUGGUAGUGAAGACACCAGACCGGGUGCCCGGUUGUUCUCAAAUACAUCAAACCGAAAGGGACAGUUUUGACAGUGAUUGACUUUCGGUGCUUUGGCAGAUUUACAGCUGACUUUGGCAAUUAUGCAGGGCAAGAGGAAAGCGGAGCCCCAUGUAUGUAGAGCAAGGAGUUCAGUGAGAAGAAAAAAAGAAAGACAGAAAGAAAAGAAAAAGGAAAAAGCACACAGGAGGAGGGAGACGUAAGUCGGAGAGUGAAGGGGGCGGGAAGUAGCGGCAGCUAUAUAGGUUCCCGUUCGCCCGAGGCAAAGAGGCCGAAAACGGUCGCUGCGCAGCACCAGUGCGCGUGCUGCCGUUGUAGCGGGAGGGAGGGCAAGUUGAAUCGGGCGGUGGGGGGCACAAUAGAGAAGGGGCCCAGGUCUUCCUUCUGGGAACUCCAAGUUGCCCCACCGCGCGCGCGCAGAACAUCGCGGAACAGCACAGCGCCGGAGAAAGGUGAUCCGUCCAGCGAGCAGCAACGAAGGCCAUGCAAGGGGGAUCGUGUGUCAGCCACCUUCCGUCAUCGCGAAAGCACGAAUGUCGUUCGUCAUUCGUUGAACAUAACAACAAAUCCUCCACGGCGCCCGCUUUAUAUAACGCAAGAAGGCAGCUGCAAGGACACAAAGAAGGCAAAGAGCCAGCCCUACUCGACUCCACGUAGUUCAGAGAAGCGGAUGCCAAAGAAUCAAAAUACAUUGCCAUGCAAUUUGGACGAGAAAACUGGAAUGUGGGUAUAUUGGUUGCACCAUGUCACUAAACAUCUACAAAACUUUCAAAAUACAGCAUGUCACAACAAGAUGAAAAUUCUGACGUGCUCUAGGCAGUCAUCUUAAGAUGGUAUAUUUAUGUGAUGUCUCUGAUGGCAAAGUCAAGAUCAAGUAUGCCCUCUGGAGACAAACACAUAGGAGCAAGUGUCAUUGAAAAGUUAGAAAUGUGUUUAAAAAAGCCGAUUAGUUUUGUGAGAAGUGACUACUUUUUCUCUUCCCUCUCAACAGAUAUAUCCAUGUCAUAAAAAAGUGGUGCAAUAAAACUGCAUAUUUGCUUAGUGACAUGAUACAUACUUGAAAUGAGCACGAUGCCUGUGUUCACUGUAAAAAGCAACAGCUCAGGCUUGGUUACGUGCUUACCUAAUUUAUCAGCACGUGAAAGCAAGGGCGCAAAUACAAACCACUGUCAUUCUGUAAUUUAAAUGCUGACAUGACGCAGACAGAUUUUCACGUCUUCCCUUUUAACUAUUUUUACGCCUAAUUUCAGAAGUACGGCUUCCUCUUAGGUUCCAGAAAGUGGAAGCAUUGGAGACAGUCUAUGUCAUGAUUAAGAUUAUCGUUUAAGUGCAUGCUAACGAAACCAGUUCAUUAGAACCGCUCGUGCCUCUCGAAGUGAAAACAAGGAGCACUUAAAGCCUUUAACUGUAUACGCCGUGGUGCGCACCACACGUCUUAGUUAGAAGCCACAUAGUCACUUGCAAUUGAAAAUUAUUUUAAAAAUGCGAAAUUGUGGUUUCUACUUCUGUGAAAUAGUCAUAUGAUAGCUUGUUGCAGGUAUUUGAUAUUUUGAUUAGGGUGACUCAAUCUACUUGCCAACCAAGUAGGCUAGUGGAGGCACAGAUGUGUUCAAUGCAAAGAACUUUGAGCAUCUGAGAGAAACACUUGUUAAUCAAUUGGCGGAUGUGAACACAUGGUGUUAAUCAAGCAAAAGCCUCAUAGUUUGAUGGCUUCUGCAGACAUAAUUUUUAUAAGGCAAAAUAAAAUUAAAACAUUUUUGCACAUGGUACAUUUCUGGACUUAAGAUAGAAUGCACCGUAAGGCGAUAUAUUAAGCUCCCCAGACACGUAUGUACUUGUUUCGAGAGGAACAUUCUGUGAAGUGCGAUAAUGUUUCUUACUUAAGCGCAUCUUAACCACUUCAGCAGGAAAAAAGCUUUGGUUUCAAGUAGUUGAUUCAUUGUGCAAGCAUAAGUAUAGUCGCAUGCAAAAUCCACGUGCAUGGAAGCGAUAUGUGAAACAGGAAUGUGCAUUUCUUAAUUUAUGAUUUGGUUCUUUGUUUGUCUUUUUCGUGUACUUCCCUGCUUUUUAUGCUUAUGACGCCUUUGAUGCAUCAUAUUCAUCACAUCUGAUUUUUGGUUCACAUCUGAAGCCAUGCUAUACUUUCGUUAGACUGAAUUUUCAAUUAGUCGCAAUAAUUCAUCAUGUAAUUAUGCAAGCUGCUCCUCGGAAGUAUGGCAUUCUUACCGGAAUGGGAAUGAAAAGCUACCAUGUAUGACAAGAAAUUUGAUGCGCAAGAUUUUAAUGCCAAUGCUCCUUGCAGUUUUAUACUGAUUUGCUACACAAUAGAUAAUAUCGUAAAUUUAAUUUUAUUUAUUUGUGAGAAAGCUUAAUGGAUAAAUCCCAACAGCACCAGGAUACUACUUUCGUGAGGAGGCCAACUGAAUAGGAAAUAUGAUACGCCUCUGCACCGCUUUGAGACCGGGUAGGAUAUUGCUGCAGAACCACGACAAGACACGCCUAGAAAAAAUGGGGUGCAGCCCAUACAUGAAUAAUUUUAUGUGAAAUAUAAUCAAAGCUAGCUAGGCCUGCGGCCUCGCAUGAGAAUAUACAGCACAUUUAUAAAUGCACUGCACACUCGGUCAGGAACAUCCACACGCUGUACAGGACGUUGUCAAAUGAGCUGCUGUCUUAAAAUAUGGCACACAAAAGAAGUUUCUUGCCCAAUUUAUCUACGUUACCAGCCCCGUGCUUCGCAGCUCCUCUAGUAACUUCUGCCAUAUAAGUCCAUGCGUAUUGUGCCAGAAAUGCGUUUGCUGGCCAGUAAUGUGGUGAAUAUUUCCCUUCGAUCGUAGUGUCAAUACUUUGUGAGUUUGCACACAUUUGUUUUAUCUUUAACUUUCCAUUGUAUACUUAAUAUUUGAGAAGGUGGAGCCAAUUAAUAAUUUAGGAUAUUUCUACGCUAAUACUCAUGAAACGUCAGAGAAUACACUUAUGUUUUAUUGCAAGAUGUGUUGUAAAUUUCAUGGGCAUCAUUGUCAUCUGAUUUCAUGUGUUUGUCCGUAUGUUUCUCAAUUUAUUAUUCAUUUGGUCUUGUGACUCACCAAUAAAGGUUUUGGCCUUCUAA